rnacentral:rRNA from 1 species
AUGUCGCUGUCGUGGUUCCGCGGCGGCGGCGUUGUCCAGUGGUUCCGUGGCGGCGGUGCUGUCGAGUGGUUCCGCGACGGCGGCGCUGUGGACUGUGCAGAUCCAGAUGGAGUCGGGCGGCGAGAUCCAGAUGGACUCAGGCGGAGAUCCAGAUGGACUCAGGCGGCGAGAUCUGGUGCGGGGUAUGAGGUUCUACGGCAGGCCGAUCCUGCGUGGGCGGGGUUCUCGGUGGGUUGGUGUGGGGGUGAUGGGACGGAAAAACCGGUUGAAAAAAAACCAGACGAAAAAAAACCAGACGAAAGUGGAGGGACUAUUCAACCAACUCGUCCAUUAGGAGUAGAGAUUAGCUGGUGUUCGACACCAGUGCCCUGGCCUAGUCAACAUUAUCAAAAACUAUCACUUUGUGGCUGCCUCAGACGUGUGCUUGUGCCGUGA